rnacentral:rRNA from 1 species
CAGCCGCCGCGGUAAUACGGAGGGGGCUAGCGUUGUUCGGAAUUACUGGGCGUAAAGCGCACGUAGGCGGCUUGGUAAGUUAGAGGUGAAAGCCUGGAGCUCAACUCCAGAAUUGCCUUUAAGACUGCCGAGCUAGCAGGUGAGAGAGGUAAGUGGAAUUCCGAGUGUAGAGGUGAAAUUCGUAGAUAUUCGGAAGAACACCAGUGGCGAAGGCAGCCCCCUGGGCCAACACUGACGCUCAUGCACGAAAGCGUGGGGAGCAAACAGGAUUAGAUACCCCUGUAGUCCCUGUCUCUUAUAC